UGACUGAAAUCAGUUGGAUUUAUUUCUUUCUAAAGUUUGUACAUUUACAUAUAUCAUAUACAUAUUUUAAAUCCUUCACUAUUUUGUAUGAUUUCUAUUACAUAAAAACCAUUUAAAUGCAAUAAAUUCUGUUGUUGUAAAACAACAAAUUAUCUCCAACUUAUAAAAACACAGGAACAGUUAUAUUCAUGAACAUUUACACAGGAGAGAAAUGUACUCUAUACAUCACAGCUUCUAUACACAUCAGGUGACUGCAUGGUUUAGCUUUACCUCAACAACAGUGAAAUAGGGCGUGGGCAACCAGGAACAGGUUUCCUACAGGGGUCGGGACCACGAGCUCGCCCAAGGCUGCCAGUGUGACGGUCUGGCCACUGAAAAGGAGCAGGCCGCCAUUUG
rnacentral:lncRNA from 1 species